rnacentral:tRNA from 1 species
GGCCGCUUAGCUCAGUUGGCUAGAGCGUUUCAUUGACAUUGAAAAGGUCGGGGGUUCAAGUCCCUCAGCGGCCA